rnacentral:rRNA from 1 species
UACGGAGGGUGCAAGCGUUAUCCGGAUUCACUGGGGUUAAAGGGUGCGUAGGUGGCUAUUUAAGUCAGUGGUGAAAGCCCGCGGCUCAACCGUGGAAUUGCCAUUGAAACUGAGUAGCUUGAGUACAGUUGAAGUGGGCGGAAUACAUCAUGUAGCGGUGAAAUGCUUAGAUAUGAUGUAGAACACCGAUUGCGAAGGCAGCUCACUAAGCUGUAACUGACACUGAGGCACGAAAGCGUGGGUAGCGAACAGG